GAGAAAGAGAGAAAGAGAAAGAGAAACAAGAAAGACAAAGACAAACCUCUUCUUUAUUCUUCUCUUCUCUGUUUGUUCGUUUUGUUCGUUUUAUUGU
rnacentral:ribozyme from 1 species